GCAGCAGGCUGUUCCAUCGUUUUCCGUUAUUCCGGUUGUUACCGGAAGCGGGAAAAGGAAAGUCCGGGCAACAAAGAGCACCAUGCUUCCUAACGGGAAGAUAUCCGCGAGGGUAUAGUAAUGUAACAGAAAAUAACCAUCCUGUUUUUGCUCUGCACAAGCAGGAAAAGGGUGAAAAGGUGAGGUAAGAGCUCACCGGUUCCUGUGGUGACACGGGAAGCCGUACAUCUCAUGGGUUGAAAGACCAUGUAUACCGGCGCUCAGGGCUGCUCGUCCGAUGCCGGGGGGUGGGUCGUAUGAUCCUGUCAGUGAUGGCAGGACAAGAUAAAUGAUGGGAGACGGUUUUAUAUUCUCUUGAAGAAGGCAGGACCGUACAGAACCCGGCUUACAGGCCGGCUGCUUUU
rnacentral:RNase_P_RNA from 1 species